UUGAUCCUGCCGGACCCUACUGCUAUCGGGGUGGGACUUAAACAGGCGAGUCGAACGACUCCAAGCCAUGAUGGAGACGUGGCACACGGCUCAGUAACACGUGGCUAACCCACCCUCGGGACGGAGACAACCCCGGGAAACUGGGGCUAAUCCCCGAUAGGCGAAGACCCCUGGAAUGGGUCCUCACCCAAAAGGGGUUAAGGUCAUGCUUCCUAACCUCGCCCGAGGACGGGGCCGCGGCCGAUCAGGUAGUUGGUGAGGCAACGGCUCACCAAGCCUAUAACCGGUACGGGCCGCGGGAGCGGGAGCCCGGAGAUGGGCACUGAGACAAGGGCCCAGGCCCUACGGGGCGCAGCCGUUGCGAAAACUCCGCAAUGCACGAAAGUGUGACGGGGCUACCCCGAGUGCCGUCCGCUGAGGAUGGCUUUUCUCUGCUGUAAGGAGGCGGAGGAAUAAGGAGAGGGCAAGUCUGGUGUCAGCCACCGCGGUAAUACCAGCUCUCCGAGUGGUAGGGAUGAUUAUUGGGCUUAAAGCGUCCGUAGCCGGCCUUUCAAGUCUCUCGUUAAAUCCAGCGAUUCAAUCGUUGGACUGCGGGAGAUACUGUUUGGCUAGGGGGCGGGAGAAGCCGACGGUAUUCUCAGGGUAGGGGUAAAAUCCUAUAAUCCUGGGAAGACCACCAGUGGCGUAGGCGGUCGGCUAGCACGCGCUCGACGGUGAGGGACGAAAGCUGGGGAGCGAACCGGAUUAGAUACCCGGGUAGUCCCAGCUGUAAACGAUGCGGGCUAGGUGUUGGAGCGGCUACGAGCCGCUUCAGUGCCGCAGGGAAGCCAUUAAGCCCGCCGCCUGGGGAGUACGGCCGCAAGGCUGAAACUUAAAGGAAUUGGCGGGGGAGCACCACAAGGGGUGAAGCUUGCGGUUUAAUUGGAUUCAACGCCGG
rnacentral:rRNA from 1 species